UACGUAGGGUGCGAGCGUUAAUCGGAAUUACUGGGCGUAAAGCGUGCGCAGGCGGAUUUUUAAGCCAGAUGUGAAAUCCCCGGGCUUAACCUGGGAAUUGCAUUUUGAACUGGCAGGCUAGAGUGUGGCAGAGGGGGGUGGAAUUCCACGUGUAGCAGUGAAAUGCGUAGAUAUGUGGAGGAACACCGAUGGCGAAGGCAGCCCCCUGGGACAACACUGACGCUCAUGCACGAAAGCGUGGGGAGCAAACAGG
rnacentral:rRNA from 1 species